rnacentral:rRNA from 1 species
UACGUAGGGGGCAAGCGUUGUCCGGAAUCAUUUGGGCGUAAAGAGCGUGUAGGCGGCUCGAUAAGUCUGCUGUGAAAAGUCCAGGGCUCAACCCUGGAAGGCCGGUGGAAACUGUCGGGCUAGAGUCCGGAAGAGGCGAGUGGAAUUCCCGGUGUAGCGGUGAAAUGCGCAGAUAUCGGGAGGAACACCAAUGGCGAAGGCAGCUCGCUGGGACGGUACUGACGCUGAGACGCGAAAGCGUGGGGAGCAACAGGG